UAAUGGAGGUUGACAGAAGAGAGUGAGCACUCAUGGUUUUCUUGCAUACAGUUCAUGCUUGAAGCUAUGCGUGCUCACUUCUCUUUCUGUCACCCACCACCA
rnacentral:pre_miRNA from 1 species